rnacentral:snRNA from 1 species
CUUCCAUUUAUAAGGAACACGAAUACUAAAAUUGGGAUAAUACAGAGAUUAGCAUGGCCCUGAACAUGGAUGACAUGCAAAUUCAGAAGCAGGCCGUAUUUUG